UACGUAGGGAGCAAGCGUUGUUCGGAUUUACUGGGCGUAAAGGGCGCGUAGGCGGUAUAUUAAGUCAUCUGUGAAAUCUCCGAGCUUAACUCGGAACUGUCAGCUGAUACUGAUGUGCUAGAGUGCGGAAGGGGCAAUCGGAAUUCUUGGUGUAGCGGUGAAAUGCGUAGAUAUCAAGAGGAACACCUGAGGUGAAGACGGGUUGCUGGGCCGACACUGACGCUGAGUGCGCGAAAGCCAGGGGAGCAAACGGG
rnacentral:rRNA from 1 species